rnacentral:lncRNA from 1 species
GUUCCUCCUUGAAUUCACCCACGUGAUGUCGACGGAAUCGAGCCCAUGCUUUGUUCAGAAUCUCUAUGAGGUUUUUGUAUUAAUCUCUUGGUUUCCUCAAAGAGUCCAUGACAUAGACCGCACUUUGAUCAACCAUGACAACAAGGAGUAUCCAGUGAAAGCUAUACAUAUAUGCAUAGCCAAAGCUAGUUAGUCUUAUAUUUAACUACUAGUUCUAAAAAAAGAGAUGGGAAACACGCUCACUUGAAGUUGUACGGUAGAAGUAUGUACUUCUUGUAAUGUUGCUUGUCGAGGAACUUAUAUAUAUUCUUCAAGGUCCGAUUUGGUCUAUCUCUUAGAGUUGACUUGUUUACAACAUCGGGGUACAUGAAGCCUACGUCAUAGUAUCUUUUCCUCCGACAAGUUUGAAUCUUCAUCCUACAUGAUACAAAAUCAAAUAGGAGUUAAGACAUUGCAUAAUGACUAGAGCGGGGAUUUUGAAGUUAGAGCAAAUUAAAGACUUACAGAACCCAAGAACUGAUGAGUGACUUGUCAAGUGCGUCUUGAUUGUAAAUGUAAUAGAGUUUCUCCAGUGGCACAUUUAUAAUAUCUUCCCCACAAAAAUAAUGUUGAUCUCCAAUCCGAACUUCGAGCAUGAAUAAACCAUUGGCUGAAGCCUCCAUGUACCAUUGGUGCAAUUUGUACAUCUUCGUUGGAAGACGGCCACAGAAGCGGUUUCCCAAACUCAUAUUUUCAUUUAGCAGCCCCAGGGUGCUUUGGGACGUGAUCAUCUCCUCGAAGUUGAGCUGGGGUGAGAUUUGUAUCUUUGGCAAAUUAAAGUAGAUUCUGAUCAAACUCCAAAAGCAACUUGAGCGGGGCAAUCGAUUGGUUGGAUUAGGUUCCAAGCCGUGGAAUAGUCGACCCACUUUUCUUCUUUUUCUGAAAAGCCUUUGUUAUUUGUCGGUCGUAGUCAGAUGGUGGUGGUUUCUCUGGUUGUUUCUUUUUCUCCAACUCCAUGUUUCUAAUCAAAACCCGAAGUUUACCCUUAUCAAGUGGUGGAUCUUUCUUCAAGGGAGGCUUUUUUGCGAAGUAAGGUUUAACCUCAACAUCCACUACUAUGCGAAGUUCCGCAUCAGUGAUAUCACAAGGUUUCUUGGGUUUGAUUGCUUCUCCUUCAGCCUAUUCUGCUUCUUUGUAGCCGCAGUAGGCGGAACUGAAGGCGUCUUUCCUCGUGUAGCCAUGCUCAUAACAGGGGGAGGUGGACUCAUGCAAGGAUCUUUGUCUAGUAGUGGAGAGGGUGCCCUGGCAGAUGGCGUAGGUGAUCUUACCCUUGAGCCUUGAGGAGAUGAUCCCAAGGUCGGGGAAUUCAGCUGCAUAAUCUUUAUGUAGCGUUUGGGCCAUAGAAUCCAACCAUGAAUGGCUCCUCCUAGAUUCUUUUCCCCAUCACCUCUAGGGAUCUCCAGUUCCAGGUCAUCCCAACUGUCAACCACUCGGUCCACCCCAACUUUGACGUAACUGCGAGUUGGAAUCUCCACGCCAUAAAUUGUUUGGCCUUUUGUCAGUUGUUCA